CAGAGACUUUUUUACUGAUUGUAGAUGCAGAUCAAUAUUUUCAGAAAAUGUCAGCGACUUCAGGACGGAUGGGAAAUAAAGGAUGUUCAGAAUAUUUUCACUUUGCUGAACCAAAAAUAUCACGUCUUUGAGAGGUAAAUAUUUCAGUCUAAACACAGCAAGGCUUCAGAAAAGUGAAGAUAAACCAGAAAAUUCAGAUUUUCACACAAAGAUUCAAAAACAAAAUUCAAAGUAACAGAGCUGGACUUUCAUCAGAGUCAGAAACUAAACUCUGAGUUUUUUCUAGUCCCUGAUCUUGUCCUGAACAAAAGUUUGAAUGGUUCUCGUCUGACAAAUCUCCCCCUGCUUCUGUUUUCUGUCUGAAUGUUCUUCUCACUGUGAACUCUACAAAGAGUUUUCUUCUUGGGUUCAGGUUUUAAUUCACUGGAGCUCAGCAGUGACCUAACUGGAGUCAAUCAAAUAAUCCACUGAUGCAGAAAAUCUACUCUGGACUGAAGGUGUUCAGUCUGGGUCAGUGUUUCAGUGCUGAGUCAGCAGUUUAGUGUCAUCAUCACAAACAAAUCAUGAUCAUGUUUGAAUGGAGGAGAAAAGUCUGACCUCAGAGUCUCCAGUUUACAGUUUGGACUCUGCAGAAAGUCACACAGCAGCUUCACUCCUGAAUCCUGCAGAUCGUUGUUACUCAGGUCCAGAUUACUCAGAUGGGAGGGGUUGGACUUCAGAGCUGAGGCCAGAGAAGAACAGCUGAUCUCUGACAAACUGCAGCCAAACAACCUAAAUAAAGAGGAAAUAAUGAGAUUUUAGACAAACAUGAUCCAGUUUGAAAUUUGAUGUUUUUUUUAAAGGGGACCUGCCAUCAAAACUUCAUUCCCAUUUUUAUCAUUUUUACAUAAUCCUUGAUGUCCUCUGAUCAUGUCUGCAACAUAAUUUUAGCUGAAAAGUUGUUUGAUGGUUUGUUUCAAACCAUUUUAGUAUGCCUUAAAAAACCUUACAGGACAACUAACUGCCUUUGGCUCAUUAACAUUUAUGUUAAUGAGCUUUGCUCUGAUUGGAUCGCUGCUGUGAAACCUGUUGUGCCCUGAUUGGCUCAGCAGUGGAGGUUCUGAUGCCGGUUUUGCUGAUGUGUGCUAAAGGCUAAAAAUGGCAGGUAUUAAACCAUAUAUUUUUGACCCUGAGUCCGAGUCCGAAGAGGAGGUGGAAGUUGAAGAAGAAGCCGGAGAUCUCCAGCCGUGUUUUCUCCUUCAUUCUGUCCAGCUUUAAGUUCAUGUUCCCCGCAGUGAACCCAAGGAAACACCGGUCCUUUGGAAGAGACCCAUAGUGGAUACAGUGGUAGCUGCGUCUCGCUCUGGCUGGAGAGUUAUGAUGACUGUGACUGGGUACGAGAACGAGAGGAGUGGCCUCGCAAAAAACCAAACCGAAAUAACUUCGGAGUAUGAAUCAGCCCUAUCAGCAAUCACCCCCACAACCCACCGGGCCGAUUAAACGCAGCUACAUCCCCCACGCUGACCGCGGACGUCCUGGGCACGGCUCACAGAGGACGCGCUCGUGACUAAUAAUGAGCAAAGUCAGCUUGAUGUCAGAAUGACCUGCUUUUUCAACUGGCCUGGUUUACCCAUUUCUUUAUUUUAAACCUUUACAGAAUGAAAACGACGUAACGGUUUAUUUUCACAUUUACAACACAAGACGAACAUAAUAUGGACCUUAUCUGACACAAAAACACACAAAAUUACAUUUUUGAUGGCAGGUCCCCUUUAAAUCUGGAAAGUCUGAAUCACAGAAAAGUGACGCUCCAAAGAGCUGAACCAAACAGGAAGUCAGUUUGAAACAGUGAAUUCAAAAACACAUUAAAUAGUGAAAUAAAAAACUCAGAGACUUUUUUACUGAUUGUAGAUGCAGAUCAAUAUUUUCAGAAAAUGUCAGCGACUUCAGGACGGAUGGGAAAUAAAGGAUGUUCAGAAUAUUUUCACUUUGCUGAACCAAAAAUAUCACGUCUUUGAGAGGUAAAUAUUUCAGUCUAAACACAGCAAGGCUUCAGAAACGUGCAGAUAAACCAGAAAAUUCAGAUUUUCACACAAAGAUUCAGAAACAAAAUUCAAAGUAACAGAGCUGGACUUUCAUCAGAGUCAGAAACUAAACUCUGAGUUUUUUCUAGUCCCUGAUCUUGUCCUGAACUAAAGUUUGAAUGGUUCUCGUCUGACAAAUCUCCCCCUGCUUCUGUUUUCUGUCUGAAUGUGCUUCUCACUGUGAACUCUACAAAGAGUUUUCUUCUUGGGUUCAGGUUUUAAUUCACUGGAGCUCAGCAGUGAUCGAACUGGAG